rnacentral:rRNA from 1 species
UACGAGGGGUGCAAGCGUUAAUCGGAAUUACUGGGCGUAAAGCGCGCGUAGGCGGCUAGAUAAGUCGAUUGUGAAAGCCCCGGGCUCAACCUGGGAAUUGCAGUCGAGACUGUUUGGCUAGAGUGUGGGAGAGGGUGGUGGAAUUCCCGGUGUAGCGGUGAAAUGCGUAGAUAUCGGGAGGAACAUCAAAGGCGAAGGCGACCACCGAGACCAACACUGACGCUGAGGUGCGAAAGCGUGGGUAGCAAACAGG